rnacentral:rRNA from 1 species
CCUACGGGACGCAGCAGUGGGGGAUAUUGCACAAUGGGGGGAACCCUGAUGCAGCGACGCCGCGUGUGUGAAGGAGCGUUUCGGCGCGUAAAGCCCUAUCGGCAGGGAAGAAGAUGACGGUACCUGACCAAGAAGCCCCGGCUAACUACGUGCCAGCAGCCGCGGUAAUACGUAGGGGGCAAGCGUUAUCCGGAUUUACUGGGUGUAAAGGGGGCGCAGACGGCAAUGCAAGUCUGGAGUGAAAGGCGGGGGCCCAACCCCCGGACUGCUCUGGAAACUGUAAAGCUGGAGUGCAGGAGAGGUAA